rnacentral:rRNA from 1 species
UACGGAGGGUGCAAGCGUUAUCCGGAUUCACUGGGUUUAAAGGGUGCGUAGGCGGGUAAGUAAGUCCGUGGUGAAAUCUCUGAGCUUAACUCAGAAACUGCCGUGGAUACUAUUUGCCUUGAAUAUUGUGGAGGUGAGCGGAAUAUGUCAUGUAGCGGUGAAAAUGCUUAGAUAUGACAUAGAACACCAAUUUGCGAAGGCAGCUCACUACACAAUCAUUGACGCUGAGGCACGAAAAGCGGUGGGGAUCAAAACAGG